rnacentral:tRNA from 1 species
GCCCUGGUAGCUCAGUGGUAGAGCAACUGCAUUUGUGUGAGCAAGGCCACGCGAUCACUGGAAGCGUUGUCGCUGAUUCGAAUCCUGCCCAGUCG